rnacentral:rRNA from 1 species
AGGCUGAUUGUCCAGGCAAAUCCGGAUAAUCAAGGCUGAGGUGUGAUGACGAGGCACUACGGUGCUGAAGUAACAAAUGCCCUGCUUCCAGGAAAAGCCUCUAAGCAUCAGGUAACAUUAAAUCGUACCCCAAACCGACACAGGUGGUCAGGUAGAGAAUACCAAGGCGCUUGAGAGAACUCGGGUGAAGGAACUAGGCAAAAUGGUGCCGUAACUUCGGGAGAAGGCACGCUGGUG